rnacentral:lncRNA from 1 species
UCUCGUAGACCCUGCGCCUGCGGUCGGUGCAGCUCUCCUCGUCCUCGUGCUGGACAGGGUCCAGAUUGCCCUCCUUGACUCCGAUGUCGAACCAGUUGAGGUACUCCCUGAUCCUGUUCGGCUCCGGCGCCGACUCCGCCGCACGCGCCUGGAGGUGAUGCUCCGCAGAGAGCUCCUCGUUGAGGGCGGCGCAGGCCGCGACGAUCUCGGACUUCUCGUCGGCGAUUGCCUCGGUGAUGGGUGUAGCUGCGGCAACGUGGCUCGCCUUCUGGGCGGAAAAGGACACGUAGCGCGCGAGAAGGAUGAGGAGCGUGACAACGAGAUCGGGCGAGUUGAAGAAGACCCUCCGGAACAGCCAAACGAACGAAUCCCUCCUGUCUCUGGACACCCUAUCGAGGACUGCCUCGUCCACGGCGCCGUCCAUGACCGAUCUCUGGAGCUCCCCGAUCAUGAACACCAGAGCCGAGAUGGCCUUCCCCAACGGGACCUCCACCGCGCCCGGCGGCGCGUCUCCCUCCGCCACUUGAACCAAAUUCGUCCAGAUGGGGGCGGCGCCGGCCAGCCGCUUCUUCAUCUGAACCAUGCGUAUGGACAAGGGGAUCUCGGUCCCUCCGACGCUCUUCAUCUGAAGGUCCGACGGCCAGGCCUUCCCGGAGAAGGGAUUCUCCGGCGGCGACGGAGGGAGAACAAGCCAGGGCGGCUCCGGGCACCCGACCGUGCGGACCGGGGGCCGGCUCCGGUGAUCGGAAGCCGCCUUGACAGAGAAGCACACGCUCUUCUUCUGGCAGCUGCCGAAGGACGCCGCCGACUUGCGAACCUCCGGGGAAAA